UACGGAGGGUGCGAGCGUUGUCCGGAAUCAUUGGGCGUAAAGGGCGCGUAGGUGGCCCGGUGAGUCUUGGUGAAAGCGGCGGGCUCAACCCUGCGUCGGCCAGGGAUACUGCCGCGGCUCGAGCACUGUAGAGGCAGGCGGAAUUCCGGGUGUAGCGGUGGAAUGCGUAGAGAUCCGGAAGAACACCGGUGGCGAAGGCGGCCUGCUGGGCAGUGGCUGACGGCUGAGGCGC
rnacentral:rRNA from 1 species